UAGGACAGAUAAAACAUACCCUGCUAGUUUCAUGGAUGUUGUAUCUAUUCCCAAGACGAAUGAGAAUUUCCGUCUCCUUUAUGACACAAAGGGUCGAUUACGACUCCACUCCCUCAGAGAUGAAGAGGCCAAGAAAUUUAUUUCAUACCUGUUAGGUAUGGAGAGUAUCUACCAAUUGAACAUUUGAUUCCCUACCACGUCAUUGUUGUCAUGGUGACGGGAGGAAGGAAUAGAGGCCGUGUUGGUGUCAUCAAGAGCAGGGAGAAGCAUAAGGGAAGCUUUUAGACCAUCCACAUCCAGGAUGCAACUGGCCAGGAGUUUGCCACCCGCAUGGGAAAUGUCUUCACCAUCGGAAAAGGUACAAAAACGUGGGUGUCACUUCCCAAGGGCAAGGGUAUCAAGUUGUCCAUCAUUGAGGAGGCUAGAAAGAGGAUUGCUUCCCAAGCAGGUGCAGCUGUAUAAAUUUAUGAAUGAAGAUCUGUUGCAGAUUCUCUAUUUAAUUGCUCUAGGUUGAGGAUUUAUGUUGUCCUCGUAUCUUGUUACAACAUCGAACUAAAUUUUAUUUUUGGAUAUUUUUGGUUUGAUUUGAGAUUGAGCUAUGUUGGUUAACUGCUAUUGAUCAUGAAAACAAUAAUUUGU